CCCUUAGAUGUUCUGGGCCGCACGCGCGCUACACUGAUGCAUACAGCGAGUACUUCCCCGGCUCCGUGAGGCAGCCGGUAAUCAGCAAUAUGCGUCGUGAUGGGGAUAGAUCUUUGGAAUUCUGGAUCUUGAACGAGGAAUGCCUAGUAAGCGCAAGUCAUUAGCUUGCGCUGACUAAGUCCCUGCCCUUUGUACACCGCCCGUCGCUCCUACCGAUUGAACGGCUCAGUGAGGCCCUCGGACUGGCUCGGGGAGGCUGGAAACGGCCACCCCAGGCCGGGAAGUCGGACGAACUCGGUCGUUUAGAGGAAGUAAAAGUCGUAACA
rnacentral:rRNA from 1 species